rnacentral:rRNA from 1 species
UACGAAGGGUGCAAGCGUUACUCGGAAUUACUGGGCGUAAAGCGUGCGUAGGUGGUUCGUUAAGUCUGUCGUGAAAGCCCCGGGCUCAACCUGGGAAUGGCGAUGGAUACUGGCGGGCUAGAGUGCGGUAGAGGAGAGUGGAAUUCCCGGUGUAGCAGUGAAAUGCGUAGAGAUCGGGAGGAACAUCAGUUGCGAAGGCGGCUCACUGGCCCGGUACUGACGCUGAGGUGCGAAAGCGUGGGGAGCAAACAGG